rnacentral:snoRNA from 1 species
UUGGGCACCUAUCGAAGCCGUCCAUGUUUGGUGGUAGCAGUGGACGGUCAAAAGGAUGCCGAAAUAAACACUUUCACCGACGGUCGCUGUUCAGUUCAAUGUAACUGUCUCAGCAACAUUUAGGGGAAGGACAUUU